AGGAGUGCCAGCGCUUCAUGUGCUUGGAGGAAGCGGCUGAGGAGGAAGCUUUCUGCUCAGCAUCCGCUCCUCCUUCUGCACCUCCUGCAGCUGCAGCUGCUCCCUCCUCUGUGGAGGCAUUGAGUGCUUGGGGGUCCUCCAGGCGGUCUAGGGACUUGGAGCGUUUGGGAGCUUCUAGAGUGGCGGAGCUGCGAUGGGAGAAGAUCUUUGCCACAGGCCUCCUGAUCAGCUCUCCCACUGAAGACACUUUUCCUUUCUUUUCCUCCUCCUUCUUCUCUUCCUCCUUUUCUCCGUUUGCCACCGCCUCCCCCUCAGCACCUCCUUCUGCUCCUCCCUCAGCCGCGGCUGCCUCCUCUCCUUCUUUCUCCGCCCCCUCGGCUGCACUCUCCUCCCCGCCUCCUGCUGGGAUGCUGGGCUCCUUCUUUUUUCUGGCCGCCAUCACCUUGCCCAGCCCGCUCUUGUUCAGGAAGGAGUCCAGGAAGGAGGUCUUGUGCUCUGCGUUUUCUGAGCUCUGAGGAGCUGUCACCUCGCCGCUCGAUGCUCCGGCCUCCUCCUCCUCGCCGCCGGCCUCUGCCCCCUCCUCUGCCGCUGUGUCGUUAUUGACAGUGUCUUUGCUGGGGACAACCUCGCUGUUGACGGCAGCGCCAUCUUUGUCUGGCAGCUCGCUGUUGGCGCUCUCUGAGUUCGCCUGAUUGGUCGCUUGCUCCGCCUCCGGCUGCUUGCUCUCCGCACUUUUCCCGUCUUCCUGAACUGCAGGCGCCGCGUCGGCUUCCGUCGCCGCCAUUUCCGAAAGAGGGAAGAAACCACAACAAAAAAAGUUUGUUUCUUUCCUUCCCUGGCCUUCUACACUCCUCUUCCUCUCUUUCUGCUGAUUGGUUCCUCCCGUAAGGUGGCGCUCUCAGCUCAUGGAAAGCGGCGUGGAGAAGACUGGCAUGGAAGGAAGCUACUCAGCAUCCUACUAAUCCUCCUGACUCCUGUGGAGCAGCAGAGAAAGGUAGAAAGAGUCAACAGAAGGAGACAAGCCAGGGAGAGUUUUUAUGAUUGACUGUGGACAUUCUCCAGGUGUCUGUCUCGCUCUCUCUAUCUCUCUCUUACACACACACACACACACACACACACACACACACACACACACACACACACACACACAGACUCCAUGAAUGAGUCAGCACGUCAAUGACUGUGAGUCACUGGGGCGAGCACACGUUUAGAUAUUCUCUGAGGGAUUCGGGUGGAGACAGCAUCAGGUGGGCGAGUUGGGGAGGACCAAGUGAGAGAGGCAUAAAAACUAACGUGACGUGAUCCAAACUGGCUGCCAUACUGGAUUUCACACCAGAACCGCAGGUGAAUGUCUCAGCCGUCGUACAUCCUCAAAUUACCGUACAGUCAAAUCUCGUCCUCCCAACGCCCCCGUUUUUGUAUGGGUCGGUUUUUGUUCAAAAAUGUGUUGUACACCGUCGGUUGUAACAAACUAGUCGUUUUGCUGUGUACUGUAUCGUUCCAUGAAAUCGAGUGCCCAAACAAAGCACCGUACACCUUGCUGACUCAUUGUCCGUGCGUUUUUUUGAGCGAGACUGCUAAAUAACCCGCCAUGGGGUCAAAGAAAGUUCAGAGUGCCAGCAAUUUGAUAAAGGAGGUGAGAAACACUAUUGAAUUCCAUCUCGACAGAAUGUGCAGAAAGUCCACAUCAACAAUAACAUCCAUCAAUUCGUCAUUUAUAAUUAUUUCUCAUUGUUUUCUGCAUGUAAAACAAUAAUUACUCUCUAUAGAAUGUAUCUUUUGUUCAUAUUUUUUCGUGUCUUGAUCAGAUUAAUUGGAUGUUCAUUAUUUCAUACUGGCAAAAUUGCCUUGGUUUUUGUACAUUUCAGUUUUUGUUGAACCUUGGAAUGAAUGAAUAACAAAAACCGAGGUGCCGCUGUGUUGUCUUUUUCAAGUUCACAAGUGUUACACGGGUUUCGAGGUCAGGGUGUCUGGUGGUUUGAUGGAUGUCUUCAUAGUGCACACACACAACAUUUAGAAUCGACUCAAUGCUCUUUAACAGUUGACAAAAUGUCAAAUGUCUUUGACAAAAAACAAAGAAAGUUUUUCCCAACCUUUGCCGAGCCAAGUUACACAUUUGACAUUGGAAAAAUGUCACAGCACACCACCAAACGAAUGUAUGGCAACAGGUUGAGACACAGGUUAAUUAUGUACCUUCUGCCGUCUCGUGGAAGAACAUUUAAUUUAUACGUCGCUGGCAUAGAUAGAUGAACAAAGACGCAUUGUGAUCUCUCACGGCACACUAAUGUAAAAGGAUGUAGUGGUUUUGUUGUCAUGUUGUUGUGCCGAGUGAAGGCAGCCAAGAUGCAAGUGUUUGAGUUGAAUAAUUCAUCCACCACAAGUCCAAAUAGUCCCAACAGUCCACACGCGAGCCUCACAUGCGCUCCCCUUCUUGCUUUAUGUGCUUUAUCAUCGUCGCAUUCUCAUCUCUUCAUCAGUGUCAGUCGUCUCUGCAGGUUGCCGAAGGAGGAGAAAGCUGACACUUGACUGACAAGCAACACACAUGAAACGAACUCCUGAGGAGUACUGAGGACUGCUGUGAUAGAUGUAGAACAAGUAUUCUCAGUAGAAAGUCCCCUCAAGGUGACAUUCAGCUGACCUUCCAGGUGAAAUUUGGAAUGUGGAAGGCUGAGUGGCGACAGCGUCCCGCCAUAAAAGCCAUGAGACCAGGUUAAAUGGACCAGGCCUACAGGAGUGUCUCCACUGGGGCAAGAAGGUUCUUCGGAUAAUACACACGCCUCCUCAAAACUCAGCCGACACAUGACUGAGACGGCGACAUUUCACACACAGGUUAAAUGGACCAGAACCGGCCUUUGGACCCGCACACCAGACAUGGGGAUGCAAACAGGAAGUACUGGUCCAGAUGAAGGAUUAUAUUUGGAAGCAAAGCAACUUUCAGUGCAGUUGUUUAUGGCCUGGGCCGCACAGCAACCUGAGGGCAACACACCUUGGCCCCUGACCUCUGACCCCUCAGUGUUGCAGGUCAAAAGGAAAGCGGAUUUGCCGCGCAGGCUGCAGUGAAGAUGACACUACAAGCAAGCCUGUUAAAUCCAUCAGUGGAUCAGCACAGGCCGCACGCAACGCUCGCUCAGGUUACCACUUGAAGGACGUCAUCGUCAUUGUUAUUAUCAAUAUCAACAUUUUCAUCAUCAUCUUCCUGCUGCAACUAUGAUGCUUGGAUGGAAACCCCUGGAAGGACCUCCAUGGACUCACUAGGUUUUGUUCAUGUGAGAAGAGUCCAAGUUUAGCAGCACACACUCCUCGUUAAUCAAUUAACUGUCCCUAAACAGGAUUGUUUACAUUAGCCUUCGUUAGAGCCGCUAUGGAGCACCAAAACAAGUCAGCCAGCUAAUGAAUACAACUACAUGACUACAACACACCUACAACUAUAACACAACCGCAAUACAGCACGACUACAACACACCUACAACUAUAACACAACUGCAAUACAGCGCGACUACAACACAACUACAACUAUAACACAACCGCAAUACAGCGUGACUACAACACACCUACAACUACAACACAACUGCAAUACAGCACGACUACAACACACCUAUACUACAACACACCAACAACUACAAUAAAGCACGACUACAACCCAACACACCUAAAACUACACUUGUAAUACAACACACCUAAAACACAACUGCAAUACAGCACAACUACAACACACCUGCAACUACAACACAACUGUAAUACAGCACAACUACACCUGCGAUACAUCACAACUACAAUACAACACGACUGCAAUACAUUACGACUACUAUAUGAUUACAACUACAAUACAACACACCUACAACUACAACACAACUGCAAUACAGCACAACUACAACACACCUAAAACUACACUUCCAAUACAACACAACUACAACACACCUACAAGUGCAACACAUCUACAACUAAAACUGCGAUACAACACACCUACAGCUGUAAGAGAACUGCAAUACAACACGACUAUAACACACAACUACACCACAACUGUAAUACAACAUGACAACAAGUCUGCAGCAUGACAACACACCGACAACACCACUGCAAUACAAAAGGAUUCCAACAUGACUACAACACGUCUACAACACUCCUACAUUUGAUAAAAAGUUGUACUGUCUUUCUUUUCUGCUGAAGGCUUUAGAAGAGAAUGUGUAUGUCAGGUGUAAUGUCACCGCCUAGUGGCCUGGCAUGCAUAUUACACUUUUCACUUCUUUUUCCCAUAUGCACUUUGACGUUGUCGUCUGUACGUGAAACUUUUCAAACUGGCUGCGGUUCAUGUCAUGUGGUUGUGGUGUAAACCGACAACGCUAGAGCCCUGCUGUGUGUUGCCGUGGUAACAAGAUUUACUUGAGUCUUUCAACAUGACGACAGCGAUGACAACAUAAAGGAGAAGAAGAAGGUGUUGAGAAGGUUGGUGGGUGGGACUGUGGUGGUCAGCAGCAUGCAGUGAAAGGAGCAGUGUCCAUAGCGACGUGCUAUUAUGGGUUGCCAGCUCAAGGCACCAUGGGAGUCUUCUAUAGAGCCUCAGCUCGCUCCUUCAACAGAGAGGCCCCUUCAUGUCCUUUCAUCCUCCUCUUCCUCAGACACAGACCAGCCUUUAUCUGCCCAUCAUGUGCUCGCUCUCGCUUCUCUCUCCUCCAGCCUGACCCUGUUUUCUCCAGCCAGCAGCAGGAGGGGGUGGGGGAGCACAUGCACAGUGAGAGUGAAGGGGAAAAGGCUGAUUUGGAGGCUAAAUAUUUGAUCCGUGGCUACGCUAGUGUCUGUAGCUUAAUACCCUUUGGAUGUUAUCUCAUAAGUCUGUGCAGCUUUUUCCUGCUCAAAUAAUCUCUACAUCUCAACUCAUCCUCCUCACGUCUGCUGGCUGUACGUGUGCACGUGCAACACAUGACAUUUUCAUCUGUCAAGACGUCAUUCAUGGGCACUCUUGGUUUCCAAAGGUGAAGGUUCAUCAUUUCUUAGGAGUCAAUGCUGGCCAAGUGGCUGGCAUGAAGUUUCAUCUUGUCAGUCAAUCAAUCUAUCACAUGCUGUCAAUCAUCAACUUUUAACCAUCAAAGUUUAGGACCAGUACCUUCUCAUGCCAGAGAUUGUAACUUGUGAUGAAAUGUUAACACAACACACAAUAGGCAAUACACAGCAUCUUCUCAUUUUGUCUCUGAGUGUCUGAUGACCUCCAACAUGUCCUUCAUCAAACAUCUUCAUCAACUUUGUCUCAGCGUUUACAUAUGUCCUCAGGCAUGUGAUGGCUUCACAGUGUGGCCUCAUCCACCUUCUCAUUCUACUCUAGCAUCUUCAACCUCAUGAUGCGCAGUAUCUCACUCGUCAUCUCUCAACAAUCUCACCCUUGUUGUCCUGCCACAGGCGCCAUCUUCCUCCAACAUCGCUCCUCAUCACAUGCAUGCAACGACUCAUCCGUCUGCAUCCUCAUUCCAAAUACCUUCUCAUUAGCCCCUCACACUUUUCAUUUGGUGCACCUCUCUUAUGUUGUCUCAUAUUCUCUCACUCUGUCUCAUGCUGUCUCGUACCGUGUCAUGCUAUCUCAUGUUCUGUCAUGUUGUCUCAAACUGUGUCAUCUUCUCUUGCAUUCUCUCAUACACAAACCUUCUCAAUAGCUCCUCACAUUUCUCAUUUGAUGCACCUGUCUUGUGGUCUCUGAUGCUGUCUCAUAUUCUCUCAUUCGGUCUCAUGCUCUCCUGUGCCAAAUCAUGCUGUCUCAUUUUCUAUCUUGUUUUCUCAUGUCUCAUGCUGUCAUUUUCUCUUGCAUUCCCUCGUGCUGUCUUGUGUUCUCUCAUAUUGUCUCAUGUUUUCUUGUGCUGUCUUGAGUUGUCUCGUGUCAUGCCUCAUACACACAUCCACUGACUCAUCCGUCUGCAUCCUCAUUCCAAACAAAUACCUUCUCAUUAGCCCCUCACACUUCUCAUUCGGUGCACCUCUCUCAUAC